rnacentral:rRNA from 1 species
GCUGGCGGCAGGCCUAACACAUGCAAGUCGAGCGGUAGCACAGAGAGCUUGCUCUCGGGUGACGAGCGGCGGACGGGUGAGUAAUGUCUGGGAAACUGCCUGAUGGAGGGGGAUAACUACUGGAAACGGUAGCUAAUACCGCAUAACGUCGCAAGACCAAAGAGGGGGACCUUCGGGCCUCUUGCCAUCAGAUGUGCCCAGAUGGGAUUAGCUAGUAGGUGGGGUAACGGCUCACCUAGGCGACGAUCCCUAGCUGGUCUGAGAGGAUGACCAGCCACACUGGAACUGAGACACGGUCCAGACUCCUACGGGAGGCAGCAGUGGGGAAUAUUGCACAAUGGGCGCAAGCCUGAUGCAGCCAUGCCGCGUGUAUGAAGAAGGCCUUCGGGUUGUAAAGUACUUUCAGCGAGGAGGAAGGUGUUGAGGUUAAUAACCUCAGCAAUUGACGUUACUCGCAGAAGAAGCACCGGCUAACUCCGUGCCAGCAGCCGUGGUAAUACGGAGGGUGCAAGCGUUAAUCGGAAUUACUGGGCGUAAAGCGCACGCAGGCGGUCUGUCAAGUCGGAUGUGAAAUCCCCGGGCUCAACCUGGGAACUGCAUUCGAAACUGGCAGGCUAGAGUCUUGUAGAGGGGGGUAGAAUUCCAGGUGUAGCGGUGAAAUGCGUAGAGAUCUGGAGGAAUACCGGUGGCGAAGGCGGCCCCCUGGACAAAGACUGACGCUCAGGUGCGAAAGCGUGGGGAGCAAACAGGAUUAGAUACCCUGGUAGUCCACGCCGUAAACGAUGUCGACUUGGAGGUUGUUCCCUUGAGGAGUGGCUUCCGGAGCUAACGCGUUAAGUCGACCGCCUGGGGAGUACGGCCGCAAGGUUAAAACUCAAAUGAAUUGACGGGGGCCCGCACAAGCGGUGGAGCAUGUGGUUUAAUUCGAUGCAACGCGAAGAACCUUACCUACUCUUGACAUCCAGAGAACUUAGCAGAGAUGCUUUGGUGCCUUCGGGAACUCUGAGACAGGUGCUGCAUGGCUGUCGUCAGCUCGUGUUGUGAAAUGUUGGGUUAAGUCCCGCAACGAGCGCAACCCUUAUCCUUUGUUGCCAGCGGUUAGGCCGGGAACUCAAAGGAGACUGCCAGUGAUAAACUGGAGGAAGGUGGGGAUGACGUCAAGUCAUCAUGGCCCUUACGAGUAGGGCUACACACGUGCUACAAUGGCAUAUACAAAGAGAAGCGACCUCGCGAGAGCAAGCGGACCUCAUAAAGUAUGUCGUAGUCCGGAUUGGAGUCUGCAACUCGACUCCAUGAAGUCGGAAUCGCUAGUAAUCGUAGAUCAGAAUGCUACGGUGAAUACGUUCCCGGGCCU